rnacentral:rRNA from 1 species
AAGUCGAGGGGCAGCAUGAACUUAGCUUGCUAAGUUUGAUGGCGACCGGCGCACGGGUGAGUAACACGUAUCCAACCUCCCGCAUACUCGGGGAUAGCCUUUCGAAAGUAAGACUAAUACCCCAUGGUCUCCACGGAUGGCAUCUGAAAUGGAGUAAAGGUUUCGGCCGGUUGCGGAUGGGGAUGCGUUCCAUUAGAUAGUAGGCGGGGUAACGGCCCACCUAGUCAACGAUGGAUAGGGGUUCUGAGAGGAAGGUCCCCACAUUGGAACUGAGACACGGUCCAAACUCC